GGACGAACGCUGGCGGCGUGCUUAACACAUGCAAGUCGAACGCUGAAGCUUGGUGCUUGCACUGGGUGGAUGAGUGGCGAACGGGUGAGUAAUACGUGAGUAACCUGCCCUUGACUCUGGGAUAAGCCUGGGAAACUGGGUCUAAUACUGGAUANGACAUGUCACCGCAUGGUGGUGUGUGGAAAGGGUUUUACUGGUUUUGGAUGGGCUCACGGCCUAUCAGCUUGUUGGUGGGGUAAUGGCUCACCAAGGCGACGACGGGUAGCCGGCCUGAGAGGGUGACCGGCCACACUGGGACUGAGACACGGCCCAGACUCCUACGGGAGGCAGCAGUGGGGAAUAUUGCACAAUGGGCGGAAGCCUGAUGCAGCGACGCCGCGUGAGGGAUGACGGCCUUCGGGUUGUAAACCUCUUUCAGCACGGAAGAAGCGAAAGUGACGGUA
rnacentral:rRNA from 1 species